rnacentral:rRNA from 1 species
CCUACGGGAGGCAGCAGUGAGGAAUAUUGGACAAUGGAGGCAACUCUGAUCCAGCCAUGCCGCGUGCAGGAAGACUGCCCUAUGGGUUGUAAACUGCUUUUAUACAGGAAGAAACACUCCCUCGUGAGGGAGCUUGACGGUACUGUACGAAUAAGGAUCGGCUAACUCCGUGCCAGCAGCCGCGGUAAUACGGAGGAUCCAAGCGUUAUCCGGAAUUAUUGGGUUUAAAGGGUCCGUAGGUGGUUUGCUAAGUCAGAGGUGAAAUCCUGCCGCUUAACGGUAGCACUGCCUUUGAUACUGGCAAACUUGAGUCAUUGUGAAGUAGUUAGAAUGUGUAGUGUAGCGGUGAAAUGCAUAGAUAUUACACAGAAUACCGAUUGCGAAGGCAGAUUACUAACAAUGUACUGACACUGAGGGACGAAAGUGUGGGUAGCGAACAGGAUUAGAUACCCUGGUAGUCCACGCCGUAAACGAUGGUCACUAGCUGUUUGAUGCACAAUGGUGCGUUGAGUGGCUAAGCGAAAGUGAUAAGUGACCCACCUGGGGAGUACGCUCGCAAGAGUGAAACUCAAAUGAAUUGACGGA